CCUGUGUGUUAGCCGACGCUGUACCCAAAAAAAAAAUAAAAAUUGAGGCUCUCCGCCGUCUCCGGUCUUCUACUCUCUCUCGUUUUCGCUUCUCCCCAAUAGGGUAGCACCCUCCUCUCCUCUUCCUCCCCUUCUUCUUUACCUUCUGCUUCUCCUGCUGCUAAGCCCACAACCUCUCCUGCCUUCUCGUAAAUAAAGAUACGAUAGGUACGACGUCGCGGAGCUGCUCCGGCUUCCGAAGGUGGAGAAGGUUGCGCCUUCAUCCGCUCCCACCUCAACCGCCUGGGUGUCCCCUCCUCUUUCACCUUUGUCCACACCGGCGUCGUCGCCCAGGUGCCACAACCCCCAUCCCUCUCCAGGUAUCGAAAAUAGCCCAUCGUCCCCUUCUCUAUGACCUCCCCCGCCACCGUCUGCUGCAUGACACUGUUUUCUUGGAGUGUUCUUGUUCUAUUAUGCGUCUGUUUCUUUUUUGUUGAAUUAUGGUUCUGAUUUGGUUGAUGUCGAUAUCUGAUGGGUGUUGGAUUGAUCGGCUGGUCUGGAUUUUAGAGAAAGAUCUCAUCUUUGUGACUAUGGUUCAGGAAAUGGUGGAGUGGGAGCACAAGAGCAAGGUAGAUGGCGUCAUGCACGCGUGCAGGCAUGGCGCUCAUGUCGCAAUACUCCUUGCUGCUGCUAAAUUGCUCAAUCAACGCAAACACAAGAUUAUCUGCUGCUAGACAUAAAGCCAAGAUAACCUUAUACCAUGUACUUAGAAAACUACUGGAUUAAUUAGUUCACAUCUAUGUAUAGACAAAUGAAAGUAAGUUACACUCUAGUUUCAAAUUUAUAUACGUUCAAAUUCCAUUUGUUAAAAGGUAUGGCAACCAUACCUUUUGAAGUCCUUGGCAAUCGUGGAUCUUUUUCUUCAUUUAAUUACUUUAGUUUCACUUGUAUAGAUCUCUCAUUAGAUGAUUUGAAGAGUCCAAAAAUCUCUCAUUAGAUGAUUUGAAGAGUCCAAAAAUCUCUCAUUAGAUGAUUUGAAGAGUCAAAAGUUUCAAACAACAAAACAUGAGCCAUCGUCAAGAAGUAUCAGAAAAAAGAUUAGAGGGCAAUCGAGAUAAGUUCAAGAGACAAAUGACAAAACACGGCCAGAUAAUAAAACAGCAAUCUAUUGGCAUUGUAGGUUUGAAGGCCACUUUGUCCUUAAGCUUUCUCCCAACUUCAUCUUCUUUCUGCAAAUUUUUCUCAUGUGCCUAAAGCAUGGAGGAACAUACACAAAAACAUCUCAUAUAACUCAGAUAUUCUAAUGUUAAUUAUGUUAGUUUUGUCACACUUCACUUCAACCUUCAUUUUUUUUGCGAACUUCAUGUUUCAAUUUUCACUAUGGAAUCAGGUAACCUGGUUCACCUGGAAUUCUUUUAAUUGGACUCACGUAGUUUCUAAAUGUCAUUUUUGAUCUUUUUUUAAGUUAAAGGGAACUGUGAGACUGCUUUUUGAACUUGCAGAGGAGGGCGGUCCAGGCGCAUUUCACAUGGUCAAUGAUGGCGCUCUUGAUGGUGUAGAAGCUAUUUUUGGAAUGCAUGUUUGCUACCAAUUACCAAUUGGAAUUAUAUCCAAUCCAGGCUUCACACAGCCAGCUGCAUGCUUCUUUGGAGCUAAACUAGAAGGUAAAGCCUUCAUUGGAUAAAGCUUCUGUACCUACAACUUUGCUGAAUCUCAUUGAUGUUUGCAGUUGCAAGUAUACCACUUGCCAAAUGAGAGGAGGUUAGAAGAUGAUCAAACAAUAAUUCUGACAUUUAUAGUCUCAAAACAUCGGCAAUUAUUAAAUACUAACAUAUUGAGGAGAUUCUCUCAGUGCCAACGUGCUAUUCCUCAACUCAAAGGGCGGUCAGCGGUGCAUGAUCUUCGAAACUCCAUUACUUUAUUUUCAUUGUUUGAUAUUCUUUUGUUCCAAAAUUUGAAAGAUUUUGGUGAUUUCAUCUUCCCUUUAUGAAACCUUCUGAGACACUAUUCUUUUAUUGCGAACUGCUAAGAUUUUGAGGAAUUGCUUAGACUAUUGACUUCUGAUUUGCUGACAAUAUGUGUAGUCAUCUUCAUCCUCGGUA